rnacentral:rRNA from 1 species
GACGAACGCUGGCGGCGUGCUUAACACAUGCAAGUCGAACGGAAAGGCCCUGCUUUUGUGGGGUGCUCGAGUGGCGAACGGGUGAGUAACACGUGAGUAACCUGCCCUUGAAUUUGGGAUAACUUCAGGAAACUGCGGCUAAUACCGGAUAGGAGCUCCUGCUGCAUGGUGGGGGUUGGAAAGUUUCGGCGGUUGGGGAUAGACUCGCGGCUUAUCAGCUUGUUAGUGGGGUAGUGGCUUACCAAGGCUUUGACGGGUAGCCGGCCUGAGAGGGUGACCGGCCACAUGGGGACUAAGAUACGGCCCAGACGCCUACGGGAGGCAGCAGUGGAGAGUAUUGCGCAGUGAGCGGAAGCCUGAGGCAGCAACGCCGCGUGCGGGAUAACGGCCUUCGAGUUGUAAACCGCUGUCGCCGGUGACGAAGCGUGAUUGACGGUAAUUGGUAAAGAAGCACCGGCUAACUACGUG